rnacentral:rRNA from 1 species
UACGGAGGUGGCAAGCGUUGCUCGGAAUCACUGGGCGUAAAGGGCGCGUAGGCGGGGAGGUAAGUCGGGUGUGAAAUCCCUCGGCCCAACCGAGGAACUGCGCCCGAGACUGCUUCUCUUGAGUCCCGGAGAGGAAGAUGGAAUUCCCGGUGUAGCGGUGAAAUGUGUAGAGAUGCGGAGGAACACCGAUGGCGAAGGCAGCCCCCUGGGCUGACACUGACGCUCAGGCACGAAAGCGUGGGGAGCAAACAGG